rnacentral:rRNA from 1 species
CUGAUAUGAAGAGCUUGCUCGGAUUUGAAGAUGAACAUUGCAAAGAGUGGCGAACGGGUGAGUAACACGUGGGAAACCUACCUCUUAGCGGGGGAUAACACUUGGAAACAAGUGCUAAUACCGCAUAAUACUGAUAACCGCAUGGUUAUCAGUUGAAAGAUGGUUCUGCUAUCACUAAGAGAUGGUCCCGCGGUGUAUUAGCUAGUUGGUAAGGUAAUGGCUUACCAAGGCAAUGAUACAUAGCCGAGUUGAGAGACUGAUCGGCCACAAUGGGACUGAGACACGGCCCAUACUCCUACGGGAGGCAGCAGUAGGGAAUCUUCCACAAUGGACGAAAGUCUGAUGGAGCAACGCCGCGUGUGUGAUGAAGGGUUUCGGCUCGUAAAACACUGUUGUAAGAGAAGAAUGACAUUGAGAGUAACUGUUCAGUGUGUGACGGUAUCUUACCAGAAAGGAACGGCUAAAUACGUGCCAGCAGCCGCGGUAAUACGUAUGUUCCAAGCGUUAUCCGGAUUUAUUGGGCGUAAAGCGAGCGCAGACGGUUGUUUAAGUCUGAAGUGAAAGCCCACAGCUUAACUGUGGAAGUGCUUUGGAAACUGGAUAACUUGAGUGCAGUAGAGGAGAGUG